rnacentral:lncRNA from 1 species
GAGAUCAAGGCAUGAUUUAAAAAAUAAAAAAAAAAGAGGGAAAAGGGGGGAAACCGAAUUUGCCUUGCACGGACUCCAAAAAAGAGCUUCUUUUUUGCACAAAGGGUAUUUGGUUCCCCCCACUUUCCCUAUAAAUAGAUGCACCAUUACCCUUCAUUUUUCAUGCUUUCUAGCCCCCAAAAAUGAUGAAAAAAUAUCAUU